AAGAGUAAGGGUCUUCUAGGCCCGACCUCCCUACCCUUUGUCUACCAAACCAUUGUUGCUUCGGCGGGCCCGUCCCAGGACCGCCGGAGGACCGUCAAAACGUCCUCUGGCCCGCGCCCGUCGGUAGCCCUUAUUAUCAAACUCUGAACCAAACGUGUCCUGUCUGAAUAAUUAUCAAAAAUUAAAGCAA
rnacentral:misc_RNA from 1 species